rnacentral:rRNA from 1 species
GUGGCGGGCGGGUGAGUAAUGUAUGAGCAACCUGCCUUUCAGAGGGGGACAACAGUUGGAAACGACUGCUAAUACCGCAUAAUGUAAUUUUGAGGGCAUCCUCGGGAUACCAAAGGAGCAAUCCGCUGAAAGAUGGGCUCAUAUCUGAUUAGCUAGUUGGUGGGGGUAACGGGCUCACCCAAGGCCUGCGAUCAGUAGCCGGACUGAGAGGUUGAACGGCCACAUUGGGACUGAGAUACGGCCCAGACUCCUACGGGAGGCAGCAGUGGGGAAUAUUGGGCAAUGGGCGAAAGCCCUGACCCAGCAACGCCGCGUGAAGGAAGAAGGUCUUCGGAUUGUAAACUUCUUUUAUGAGGGACGAAGGACGUGACGGUACCUCAUGAAUAAGCCACGGCUAACUACGUGCCAGCCGCAGC